CCCACGAACCAUGAGAUCAUGACCUGAGCUGAAAGCAAGAGUUGGUCACUCAACCAACUGAGCCACCCAGGCACCCUGGGACUUUUAAAUUGGGAAAUGGUAUUUAGAGACCAUAAUACGGUACUGUGGAUGCUCAGUGCUACUGGAUUGAUUAUUAUUUCUAGGUCUUCUCAGUGGGCAGUGUGCAAUUUCUUAAAGAUAAAACCCAUCAUAAACUCAUACAUGAUUUUAUGUCCUGUGGUUGGGCAGGGCUUGGCUGGGUGACUCCUCUGUUUCAGGAGGCAUGGACCGAGGUGCCUCUGUGGUAUUCUGGUGGGUGUGCCCGUCUGGAGGACUCAAGGGGACUUCAUUCCCAUGUCUGGUGACUUCCAGUGGAUGCCGGAAGCAUGGGCUCAGGCUGGCUGGACUUCCUAUAUGGUGGCCUGGGCCUCCUGAGAUAGCAUGCUCACAGAAGCCUCUUAGGACCCAGCCCAAGAAGUCCCAGGAUGUCACUUUCACCACAUUCUGUGGGUCAGGCCGUUCGCUCAGGUCAGCUCAGGAUUAAGAAGAAGAAAGUCCACCAGGUCAGAUAGGAUGCCUGGUCUGGGGAGUCUGAGCAGCACUCACACCAGCAGCACCUUCUCUUGUCCAGGACCUCCGUCACCUGCCUGCUCUCAUGCACCGGCUGAACUGCCUCGGUGACCCACUCUGCCACAUGGUACCUUGGCCCCUGCUGCCUGAACCCGUGGCAGCCCCCAGACGGGUCGGAAGAUGCAUCUUCUACUCAAGGACGUCCCCGCCUGGUUCUGGCACUCUGAAAGCUGGUGACCGUCCCCACUUCCUGGAGAGAUGCAUUUUAAUUCAGUCUAUCGGUUUUCUAUAAAGGCAAUCUGUCUACUGAAGAGUCAUUUCCCAAAAUAACCCCUGAUAAUUGGCUCGUACUCUUUCUUGGAAUGAGAUGUUUGUUUAGCAUAGGAGGGGAUGAGACGCCAGAGAAACAGAGCCCCCACCUAAGCAGUUUUAGGUUUACGGAAAAAUUGAGUGGAAAGUACAGAGAGUCGCAGGGACCGUCUCCCUCCCUGCCCUCCCCGCUCCCAGAUUCUCCGGGUGUAAACAGCCUAUAUUAGAGCCGCCACAGUUGCUGCAACGGAAUGUCACGGAAUUGGAAUCAUAUAGCGUGUGAGCUUCGUGGAUUGUCUUCUUUCCCUUGGUGGAGACGAGAUUAAGACACAGAGGUACACAGACGGACGACCCUGCGAGGACCUGGGGAGCAGGCUGCCAUCCACGAGCUAAGGAGAGGGGCCUUGGAAGAAACCAGCCCCAUUCACACCUCGAUCUUGGACGUCCAGCCUCCAGAACCAUGAGACAAACGUCUGUUGUUUGAGCCACACCGUCUGGGUGCCUGUGAUGGCAGCCGCACGCUAAGACAACACUUUCAUCUGCCCCAUUCCCAACGCUGUCUUCCCCUCCUUGCUUGGUUUUUCUCCUUAGUCUCUAUUCCCACCUGGCAGAUCCGAUGUCUUAUUUAUCUGGUCCCUCGUCUGUCCCAAAGCGCCCUCCCUCCUGUGCCAACUCUGUAAGUGUGAGAUUUUUGUCUAUUUGGUUCACUGCUGAGGCCCCUGUGACCAGAUCAGCACCGAAUACAUAGACUGUGCUCUGUG